GCCUCUGUAGCUCAGUUGGUUAGAGCGCUGCACCGGAAUCGCAGGGCCGUAGGUUCAAUUCCUACCAGCGGAC
rnacentral:tRNA from 1 species